rnacentral:sRNA from 1 species
GGUUCAACUCUGCCACCAACGUCGUGGUGUUGGCUGGCACCAACCGCCCUGACGUCCUGGACCCGGCCCUCAUGCGGCCUGGCUGGUUUCAUCGCCAGAUUUACACUGGUCCUCCUGACAUCAAAGGCAGGUCCUCCAUCUUUAAGGUCCACCUGCGCCCACUGAAGCUGGACGAGAGCCUCAAUAAGGACGCCCUGGCGAGGAAGCUGGCAGCGCUCACCCCAGGCUUCCCUGGUGUCCAUCAUACCCCAGGGCAAGGGGCUUGGCUACGCACAGUACCUGCCCCGGGAGCAGCAGCUCUACACCCAGGAGCAGCUCUUCGACCGCACGUGCAUGAUGCUCGGGGGCCGGGUGGCCGAGCAGCUGUGCUCCGGGUAGAUCACUGUGGGGGCUCAGGACGACCUGAGGAAGGUCACCCAGAGCGCCUACGCCCAGGUAAGGGUGGGCAUCCCCCGGCACGGGCCGCAGGAGGCUCUGUUGGGCGCAGGCUCAUCCUGGGUUCCGCACUGGCAGGUUGCGCAGUUUGGGGUGAGUGAGAAGCUGGGCCAGGUGUCCUUCGACUUUUCCCGACACGGCAAGGCCCUGGUGGAGAAGCCGUACGGCGAGGCGAGCGCCCAGCUCCUUGAUGACGAGGUCCGGCACCUCGUCAGUGCCACCUGCAGGCGCACCCUGGACCUGCUGACACAGUGCCGGGAGCAUGUGGAGAAGGUGGGCCAGCGGCUCCUGGAGAAGGCAGACAUGGUGGAGCUGCUGGGCGCCCGGCCCUUCGCGGAGAAGUCUACCUAUGAGGAGUUUGUA